rnacentral:rRNA from 1 species
AACGAACGCUGGCGGCAUGCCUAACACAUGCAAGUCGAACGAGACCUUCGGGUCUAGUGGCGCACGGGUGCGUAACGCGUGGGAACCUGCCCUUAGGUUCGGAAUAACUCCCCGAAAGGGGUGCUAAUACCGGAUAAUGUCUUCGGACCAAAGAUUUAUCGCCUUUGGAUGGGCCCGCGUUGGAUUAGCUAGUUGGUAGGGUAAAAGCCUACCAAGGCGACGAUCCAUAGCUGGUCUGAGAGGAUGAUCAGCCACACUGGGACUGAGACACGGCCCAGACUCCUUCGGGAGGCAGCAGUGGGGAAUAUUGGACAAUGGGCGAAAGCCUGAUCCAGCAAUGCCGCGUGAGUGAUGAAGGCCUUAGGGUUGUAAAGCUCUUUUACCCGGGAUGAUAAUGACAGUACCGGGAGAAUAAGCUCCGGCUAACUCCGUGC